GGAUCGAUAGCUCAGUGGUAGAGCGAGAGAUUGCAGUUUGCACACCAAUAUCUCUAGGUCACGUGUUCGAACCACGUUCGGUCCU
rfam:Exophiala mesophila strain CBS 40295 unplaced genomic scaffold supercont1.3, whole genome shotgun sequence.